rnacentral:rRNA from 1 species
CCCCAGGGCUUAUUCGGUUCAAAAGCUGGCGCAUUGUCGGUGAUUCAGGAUAAUUUGGAGCGGGGCGAACCCGCGAGACCCGGACCUCAUGCUCUCGCAGCGGAGGCGACGCAUUCUAGUUUCUGCCCUAUCAAGUCGUUGUGAAGGUAUUGUCUUCCCAAGCUUAUGACGGGUAACGGAAAAUCAGGGUUUGAUUCCGGAGAGGGGGCUUGAGAAUUGGCCACCACAUCUAAGG